UACGAAGGGGGCUAGCGUUGCUCGGAAUCACUGGGCGUAAAGGGUGCGUAGGCGGGUCUUUAAGUCAGGGGUGAAAUCCUGGAGCUCAACUCCAGAACCGCCUUUGAUACUGAAGAUCUUGAGUUCGGGAGAGGUGAGUGGAACUGCGAGUGUAGAGGUGAAAUUCGUAGAUAUUCGCAAGAACACCAGUGGCGAAGGCGGCUCACUGGCCCGAUACUGACGCUGAGGCACGAAAGCUAGGGUAGCGAACGGG
rnacentral:rRNA from 1 species